AUUGAACGCUGGCGGCAGGCCUAACACAUGCAAGUCGGACGGUAGCACAGAGAGCUUGCUCUCGGGUGACGAGUGGCGGACGGGUGAGUAAUGUCUGGGGAUCUGCCCGAUAGAGGGGGAUAACCACUGGAAACGGUGGCUAAUACCGCAUAACGUCGCAAGACCAAAGAGGGGGACCUUCGGGCCUCUCACUAUCGGAUGAACCCAGAUGGGAUUUGCUGGUAGGCGGGGUAAUGGCCCACCUAGGCGACGAUCCCUAGCUGGUCUGAGAGGAUGACCAGCCCCACUGGAACUGAGACACGGUCCAGACUACUACGGGAGGCAGCAGUGGGGAAUAUUGCACAAUGGGCGCAAGCCUGAUGCAGCCAUGCCGCGUGUAUGAAGAAGGCCUUCGGGUUGUAAAGUACUUUCAGCGGGGAGGAAGGUGAUGUGGUUAAUAACCGCGUCGAUUGACGUUACCCGCAGAAGAAGCACCGGCUAACUCCGUGCCAGCCGCCGCCGUAA
rnacentral:rRNA from 1 species